AAAGAAACCCUAGUCUGAUAGCCCAGGCUGUCCCAGCCAGCCUGCCCAAGGCAGCAGAAAUUAACUGGCAGGCUGGAGGCUGGAAUGGCCAUUGUCAGGGCUAGGAGCCAGGGAUGAGGACUGGGGGACCCAGGGGCUGGACAUGAGGAGAUCUGGGUUAGGUAGGGCUUGGCUCUCUGUGUGACUGCAGGCAGGUCACCUUGCGUCUGAGCCUGUUUUGUCAUCUGAGACUCUGGGAGACAGCCCAUCCCCACACCCUACCACAGUCCUCAAUCACGUCCUUCCUCUGGCCUGAGGGUGAGCCCUCCUUUCCUGCUACCCCUGGUUCUAAGGUCUACCAAGACCUCCUUUGACCUGGCAUCAAGCUUGGAGCAUGCCAUACAUGGGAGGUCCCUGGGGCCAGCAGAGAGGAAGCAUUCCCACAGCACAGUCACUAGAAGCCGAACUGACAGUCUCAGUAGGAAAUGAGUUAUUUGUCAUGCGGGGUGUGCAAGACAUAUCAGUUUCCAGAUCCAUGUUCCCAAACAGAGGAGAGUCUAAGGUAUUUAUUCCAGCAAGGGAUGUGGGUACAGUGCGACAAAAAGAUUCCACCCAGCGGGGGUGGGAGGACAAGACGCCCCGUGUCCUCAGGACUCCUGAGUCUGCAACUAUGGGGAACUUGAUCCUGACAGAAGGAGAACUUUCCGGUUCAGAUGAUCAACAACCAGGAUUAAGCUGGCCCAGAUAGUCCCAAUUCAGGAAACUUCCUGAACAUGGGGAGGGGCCUAGGGAGCCCAAAGGCAGGUGGUCAACUUCUAUCAAACAUGAAAUGAGGCUCUUCCCCCAUUGGUGGUUUCUCUUUACCCCCUGGCCUCACUUUUUCAGAGCCACUCCAACCUCCUGGCCAAAGUUGCCACCCCCUCCAUCACUCCCUCUCCUAUCUCUCUGUUCUGUAGUCUUCCUAGCCCUCAUCACGCUCUGAAAUUACUACUUAGAUGUUCAUUUGUUUGUCUGACCCUCUGUGGGCAGGGCCAGAUCCAGGCUCUGACCCCCGCCCCAGCAUGCAGCAGGCAUGAGGGUGGUUGACUAAGUGACUGGGGGACCACUGCU
rnacentral:lncRNA from 1 species